rnacentral:rRNA from 1 species
CUUUGGUCUUAUUUUGUUGGUUUCUAGGACCGAAGUAAUGAUUAACAGGGACAGUUGGGGGCAUUCGUAUUUAAUUGUCAGAGGUGAAAUUCUUGGAUUUAUGAAAGACGAACUUCUGCGAAAGCAUUUGCCAAGGAUGUUUUCAUUAAUCAAGAACGAAAGUUAGGGGAUCGAAGACGAUUAGAUACCGUCGUAGUCCUAACCAUAAACUAUGCCGACUUGGGAUGAGAGGAGGAUUCUAUACUCCUUUCGCACCAUAUGAGAAAUCAAAGUUUUUGGGUUCUGGGGAAAGUACCAACGCAAGUUGGAAACUUAAAGGAAUUGACGGAAGGGCACACCAGGCGUGGAAUCUGCGGCUUAAUUUGACUCAACACGGGGAAACUCACCAGGUCCAGA